UACGUAGGGUGCAAGCAUUAAUCGGAUUUAUUGGGCGUAAAGGGCGCGUAGGCGGGAAAGUUAGUCAGAUGUGAAAUCCCGGAGCUCAACUCCGGAACAGCAUUUGAAACUGCUUUUCUAGAGGGUAGGCGGAGAAAACGGAAUUCCACAAGUAGCGGUGAAAUGCGUAGAUAUGUGGAAGAACACCAGUGGCGAAGGCGGUUUUCUAGCUUACACCUGACGCUGAGGCGCGAAAGCAAGGGGAGCAAACAGG
rnacentral:rRNA from 1 species